GACGAACGCUGGCGGCGUGCUUAACACAUGCAAGUCGAACGGUGAACCUGCUUCGGUGGGGGAUCAGUGGCGAACGGGUGAGUAACACGUGGGCAACCUGCCCUCAGCUCUGGGAUAACUCCAAGAAAUUGGGGCUAAUACUGGAUAUGACCGCUGACCGCAUGGUCUGGUGGGGGAAAGAUUUAUCGGCUGGGGAUGGGCCCGCGGCCUAUCAGCUUGUUGGUGGGGUAGUGGCCUACCAAGGCGACGACGGGUAGCCGGCCUGAGAGGGUGACCGGCCACACUGGGACUGAGACACGGCCCAGACUCCUACGGGAGGCAGCAGUGGGGAAUAUUGCGCAAUGGGCGAAAGCCUGAUGCAGCGACGCCGCGUGGGGGAUGACGGCCUUCGGGUUGUAAACCUCUUUCAGCAGGGACGAAGCGAAAGUGACGGUACCUGCAGAAGAAGCACCGGCCAACUACGUG
rnacentral:rRNA from 1 species